AUCAUAAGGUUCGUUUAGAAAAGAUUUUCCGCUUUAUAUUUAACUAGCCAACAGAUAAGAUUUUUAUUUUCAAGGAUUAGUAACCUGAAAAGAAAAAGUAUGCAAAGGUGGGUCCUUCGUUAGAAAAUGAUAAAAACAAUCAUAUUAACAAUAGGAAGAAAGUUUAUGGUAAAAACAAUGACUAUAAUCAGGCAGAUGACAAUAAUUUAUAUGAGAAAGACAUUGCCAAUUUUGAAAAAUAAAUUUGUUUUGUUUAAAAAGUGAAAGAUUGAGUUGCUUUUCUAUAUAAUAAAUAAUGGAAUAUGGAGUAUGCUGUGGAGAGGACUUCAUAAGAAACAGUAAGUGAAAUAAAGUUUUUUUGAUUAUUAUUAAUUUAAUUUUUUUUUGAGUUUACAUUUGGGCUAGUUUUUAACUUUAUGUGAUUUUCAAAAAAUUUUAUAGAUAAAUAAAUAGUGUCUAUCAAAA